GAUGAACGCUGGCGGCGUGCCUAAUACAUGCAAGUCGAGCGAACGGACGAGAAGCUUGCUUCUCUGAUGUUAGCGGCGGACGGGUGAGUAACACGUGGAUAACCUACCUAUAAGACUGGGAUAACUUCGGGAAACCGGAGCUAAUACCGGAUAAUAUUUUGAACCGCAUGGUUCAAAAGUGAAAGACGGUCUUGCUGUCACUUAUAGAUGGAUCCGCGCUGCAUUAGCUAGUUGGUAAGGUAACGGCUUACCAAGGCAACGAUGCAUAGCCGACCUGAGAGGGUGAUCGGCCACAUUGGAACUGAGACACGGUCCAGACUCCUACGGGAGGCAGCAGUAGGGAAUCUUCCGCAAAGGGCGAAAGCCUUACGGAGCAAUGCCGCGUGAGUGAUGAAGGUCUUCGGAUCGUAAAACUCUGUUAUUAGGGAAGAACAUAUGUGUAAGUAACUGUGCACAUCUUGACGGUACCUAAUCAGAAAGCCACGGCUAACUACGUG
rnacentral:rRNA from 1 species